UGAGGAACUUGUCCCGGUCUCUGGGAUAACAGUUGGAAACGACUGCUAAUACCGGAUGACGUCGGAACUUCGCAUGGAGUACUGACGAAAGGGUUACUGGAUCGGGAGAGCCUCGCGGCCUAUCAGCUUGUUGGUGGGGUAAUGGCCUACCAAGGCAUCGGACGGGUAGCUGGUCUGAGAGGAUGAUCAGCCACGCUGGGACUGAGACCACGGCCCAGACCUCCGUACGGGAGCAG
rnacentral:rRNA from 1 species